rnacentral:rRNA from 1 species
GUACGUAGGGUGCGAGCGUUGUCCGGAAUUACUGGGCGUAAAGCGCACGUAGGCGGAUCGAUCAGUCAGGGGUGAAAUCCCAGGGCUCAACCCUGGAACUGCCUUUGAUACUGUCGAUCUGGAGUAUGGAAGAGGUGAGUGGAAUUCCGAGUGUAGAGGUGAAAUUCGUAGAUAUUCGGAGGAACACCAGUGGCGAAGGCGGCACGCUGGGCCGUACCUGACACUGAUGCGCGACAGCAUGGGGAGCAAACAGG